rnacentral:rRNA from 1 species
UACGUAGGGAGCAAGCGUUGUCCGGAAUCAUUGGCGUAAAGCGCGCGUAGGUGGCCUUCAUAAGUCCGCUGUGAAAGUCAAAAGGCUCAACCUUUGAAAGCCGGUGGAUACUGUGAGGCUAGAGUACGGAAGAGGCGAGUGGAAUUCCUGGUGUAGCGGUGGAAUGCGCAGAUAUCAAGGAGGAACACCAAUAGCGAAGGCAGCUCGCUGGGACGUUACUGACACUGAGGCGCGAAAGCGUGGGGAGCGAACAGG